CGAAGCGUGCGAUUGGAUUGCACGUCUAAGCAGUAAGGCUGAGUAUUAGGCAAAUCCGGUACUCAUUAAGGCUGAGCUGUGAUGGGGAGAAGACAUUGUGUCUUCGAGUCGUUGAUUUCACACUGCCGAGAAAAGCCUCUAGAUAGAAAAUAGGUGCCCGUACCGCAAACCGACACAGGUAGUCAAGAUGAGAAUUCUAAGGUGAGCGAGCGAACUCUCGUUAAGGAACUCGGCAAAAUGACCCCGUAACUUCGGGAGAAGGGGUGCUCUUUAGGGUUAACGCCCAGAAGAGCCGCAGUGAAUAGGCCCAAGCGACUGUUUAUCAAAAACACAGGUCUCUGCUAAACCGUAAGGUGAUGUAUAGGGGCUGACGCCUGCCCGGUGCUGGAAGGUUAAGAGGAGUGGUUAGCUUCUGCGAAGCUACGAAUCGAAGCCCCAGUAAACGGCGGCCGUAACUAUAACGGUCCUAAGGUAGCGAAAUUCCUUGUCGGGUAA
rnacentral:rRNA from 1 species